rnacentral:rRNA from 1 species
GAUGAACGCUGGCGUUGUGCCUAAUACAUGCAAGUCGAGCGAACAGACGAGGAGCUUGCUCCUCUGACGUUAGCGGCGGACGGGUGAAUAACACGUGGAUAACCUACCUAUAAGACUGGGAUAACUUCGGGAAACCGGAGCUAAUACCGGAUAAUAUAUUGAACCGCAUGGUUCAAUAGUGAAAGACGGUUUUGCUGUCACUUAUAGAUGGAUCCGCGCCGCAUUAGCUAGUUGGUAAGGUAACGGCUUACCAAGGCAACGAUGCGUAGCCGACCUGAGAGGGUGAUCGGCCACACUGGAACUGAGACACGGUCCAGACUCCUACGGGAGGCAGCAGUAGGGAAUCUUCCGCAAUGGGCGAAAGCCUGACGGAGCAACGCCGCGUGAGUGAUGAAGGUCUUCGGAUCGUAAAACUCUGUUAUUAGGGAAGAACAAAUGUGUAAGUAACUAUGCACGUCUUGACGGUACCUAAUCAGAAAGCCACGGCUAACUACGU